CCUACACUGGGCUGGGCUGUAAAGCGGCUUGCAUGUUUGUUCUGGAAAUUGUAUAGCUCAGGGCAGCAUGUCUUUAUAGGGGCAAGAUGAGGCAGGACGGAAAGGCUGGGCAGAUCUGCUGCCCCGGGGGCUCCCCGAGCCAGGAGCAGCUGCGUGAAGGACAGGAAAAGAACUCUGGAGAGCAAAGGUCAUUACAAAAGAGGGACAUUCGGCAUCGCUGAAGAGCAGGACCGUGGCUCCCGCUUCUUCCGUUUUCACUACCGAGAGCCUUCACUGGGCUUCAUGACAGCAGAUGGCCUGAGCUGGAAGGGAACCUCAUAUCCUGAAGCCAGGUUUCCUCCUCUGAUCUUUAUCAUCCCCGAGAAAAGAUCUGCAAACCCUGUGACUGUGGACAUCACCUAUUGUUAUCCUGAAGUUUCCUAGCUCCCUCUUUCUGUCUGCAUUUUCCAAUUUCAAAUUCCCAAGAAGACCAGUCUUUCCUCCCUAAUCUAACAACGACUAUCCUUACAAACAUCGAAAAGGCAGUAUGAGCCCAAGGACCGUUGUUUUAUUGGAUGAGUUAGAGUCCACGAUUGUCAUUACUCGUUUUGUGGAUCAAGUUGCUCACACAUUGGCUGUUAGGAACUCCUGUGGCCUGGCUGUCCUGCUUCUUAAACAGUCUUACCAUUCUUAAAAAUACUCUUAAAAUUUGUUAGUAAAUAUAUUUACAUGAUUUCCCCUUCCCUUCCCUUCCUCCAACACCUGCCACCCCCCCAACUCCCUCUUAAGUCUAUGGCCUCUUUUUCUUUAAUUAAUACACUC